GUUCAUUAUAGAUAGAGAUAAUUGUAAGCAGCAAGAAUGUUCAGUAAAGUAAGAUCUACAAACACAUCACCAUCACCAAACCACAAUUUUGUCUUGAAUCCAUCUGUGUCCUUUGUUAAGUAUUCACAUAGACCAAGGUGAGCGACACAGGCUCUUUAGAGCCUCUAGUUGAUAGCUGUAAUAAUUUCGUCAUGGGUAAAUACACCAUUCAGUGUCUCAUUUACAAGAUUUGAGUUCAAAUCAUUACUGAUGACAAACUUGU
rnacentral:lncRNA from 1 species